rnacentral:rRNA from 1 species
GUCCAGACUCCUACGGGAGGCAGCAGUGGGGGAUAUUGCACAAUGGGGGGAACCCUGAUGCAGCGACGCCGCGUGGGUGAAGGAGCGUUUCGGCGCGUAAAGCCCUAUCGGCAGGGAAGAAGGAGGACGGUACCUGAGUAAGAAGCCCCGGCUAACUACGUGCCAGCAGCCGCGGGAAUACGUAGGGGGCAAGCGUUAUCCGGAUUUACUGGGUGUAAAGGGAGCGUAGACGGCAUAGCAAGUCUGAAGUGAAAGCCCGGGGCCCAACCCCGGGACUGCUCUUGGAACUGCGUGGCUGGAGUGCAGGAGGGGCAGGCGGAAUUCCUGGUGUAGCGGUGAAAUGCGUAGAUAUCAGGAGGAACACCGGUGGCGAAGGCGGCCUGCUGGACUGCAACUGACGUUGAGGCCCGAAAGCGUGGGGAGCAAACAGGAUUAGAUACCCGAGUAU